AGCUACAGGCUUAACACAUGCAAGUCGAGGGGCAGCAUUUUAGUUUGCUUGCAAACUGAAGAUGGCGACCGGCGCACGGGUGAGUAACACGUAUCCAACCUGCCGAUAACUCCGGAAUAGCCUUUCGAAAGAAAGAUUAAUACCGGAUAGCAUACGAAUAUCGCAUGAUAUUUUUAUUAAAGAAUUUCGGUUAUCGAUGGGGAUGCGUUCCAUUAGUUUGUUGGCGGGGUAACGGCCCACCAAGACUACGAUGGAUAGGGGUUCUGAGAGGAAGGUCCCCCACAUUGGAACUGAGACACGGUCCAAACUCCUACGGGAGGCAGCAGUGAGGAAUAUUGGUCAAUGGGCGAGAGCCUGAACCAGCCAAGUAGCGUGAAGGAUGAAGGCUCUAUGGGUCGUAAACUUCUUUUAUAUGGGAAUAAAGUUUUCCACGUGUGGAAUUUUGUAUGUACCAUAUGAAUAAGGAUCGGCUAACUCCGUGCCAGCAGCCGCGGUAAUACGGAGGAUCCGAGCGUUAUCCGGAUUUAUUGGGUUUAAAGGGAGCGUAGGUGGAUUGUUAAGUCAGUUGUGAAAGUUUGCGGCUCAACCGUAAAAUUGCAGUUGAAACUGGCAGUCUUGAGUACAGUAGAGGUGGGCGGAAUUCGUGGUGUAGCGGUGAAAUGCUUAGAUAUCACGAAGAACUCCGAUUGCGAAGGCAGCUCACUAGACUGUCACUGACACUGAUGCUCGAAAGUGUGGGUAUCAAACAGGAUUAGAUACCCUGGUAGUCCACACAGUAAACGAUGAAUACUCGCUGUUUGCGAUAUACAGUAAGCGGCCAAGCGAAAGCAUUAAGUAUUCCACCUGGGGAGUACGCCGGCAACGGUGAAACUCAAAGGAAUUGACGGGGGCCCGCACAAGCGGAGGAACAUGUGGUUUAAUUCGAUGAUACGCGAGGAACCUUACCCGGGCUUAAAUUGCAACAGAAUAUAUUGGAAACAGUAUAGCCGUAAGGCUGUUGUGAAGGUGCUGCAUGGUUGUCGUCAGCUCGUGCCGUGAGGUGUCGGCUUAAGUGCCAUAACGAGCGCAACCCUUAUCUUUAGUUACUAACAGGUCAUGCUGAGGACUCUAGAGAGACUGCCGUCGUAAGAUGUGAGGAAGGUGGGGAUGACGUCAAAUCAGCACGGCCCUUACGUCCGGGGCUACACACGUGUUACAAUGGGGGGUACAGAAGGCGGCUACCUGGUGACAGGAUGCUAAUCCCAAAAACCUCUCUCAGUUCGGAUCGAAGUCUGCAACCCGACUUCGUGAAGCUGGAUUCGCUAGUAAUCGCGCAUCAGCCAUGGCGCGGUGAAUACGUUCCCGGGCCUUGUACACACCGCCCGUCAAGCCAUGAAAGCCGGGGGUACCUGAAGUACGUAACCGCAAGGAGCGUCCUAGGGUAAAACUGGUAAUUGGGGCUAAGUCAU
rnacentral:rRNA from 1 species